rnacentral:rRNA from 1 species
UACAGAGGGUGCGAGCGUUAAUCGGAAUUACUGGGUGUAAAGGGCGCGUAGGCGGUAAGGGAAGUGUGAUGUGAAAGCCCCGGGCUUAACCUGGGAAGCGCAUCGCAAACUCCCUAACUAGAGUAUAUGAGAGGGUGGCGGAAUUUCCGGUGUAGCGGUGAAAUGCGUAGAGAUCGGAAGGAACGUCAAUGGCGAAGGCAGCCACCUGGCAUAAUACUGACGCUGAGGCGCGAAAGCGUGGGGAGCGAACAGG